CCCGCGGCGAGACGGAAAGACCCCGUGAACCUUUACUAUAGCUUGACACUGAACAUUGAGCCUUGAUGUGUAGGAUAGGUGGGAGGCUUUGAAGUGUGGACGCCAGUCUGCAUGGAGCCGACCUUGAAAUACCACCCUUUAAUGUUUGAUGUUCUAACGUUGACCCGUAAUCCGGGUUGCGGACAGUGUCUGGUGGGUAGUUUGACUGGGGCGGUCUCCUCCUAAAGAGUAACGGAGGAGCACGAAGGUUGGCUAAUCCUGGUCGGACAUCAGGAGGUUAGUGCAAUGGCAUAAGCCAGCUUGACUGCGAGCGUGACGGCGCGAGCAGGUGCGAAAGCAGGUCAUAGUGAUCCGGUGGUUCUGAAUGGAAGGGCCAUCGCUCAACGGAUAAAAGGUACUCCGGGGAUAACAGGCUGAUACCGCCCAAGAGUUCAUAUCGACGGCGGUGUUUGGCACCUCGAUGUCGGCUCAUCACAUCCUGGGGCUGAAGUAGGUCCCAAGGGUAUGGCUGUUCGCCAUUUAAAGUGGUACGCGAGCUGGGUUUAGAACGUCGUGAGACAGUUCGGUCCCUAUCUGCCGUGGGCGCUGGAGAACUGAGGGGGGCUGCUCCUAGUACGAGAGGACCGGAGUGGACGCAUCACUGGUGUUCGGGUUGUCAUGCCAAUGGCACUGCCCGGUAGCUAAAUGCGGAAGAGAUAAGUGCUGAAAGCAUCUAAGCACGAAACUUGCC
rnacentral:rRNA from 1 species